GAUGAACGCUGGCGGCGUGCCUAAUACAUGCAAGUCGAGCGAACGGACGAGAAGCUUGCUUCUCUGAUGUUAGCGGCGGACGGGUGAGUAACACGUGGAUAACCUACCUAUAAGACUGGGAUAACUUCGGGAAACCGGAGCUAAUACCGGAUAAUAUUUUGAACCGCAUGGUUCAAAAGUGAAAGACGGUCUUGCUGUCACUUAUAGAUGGAUCCGCGCUGCAUUAGCUAGUUGGUAAGGUAACGGCUUACCAAGGCAACGAUGCAUAGCCGACCUGAGAGGGUGAUCGGCCACACUGGAACUGAGCCACGGUCCAGACUCCUACGGGAGGCAGCAGUAGGGAAUCUUCCGCAAUGGGCGAAAGCCUGACGGAGCAACGCCGCGUGAGUGAUGAAGUUCUUCGGAUCGUAAAACUCUGUUAUUAGGGAAGAACAUAUGUGUAAGUAACUGUGCACAUCUUGACGGUACCUAAUCAGAAAGCCACGGCUAACUACGUG
rnacentral:rRNA from 1 species